ACGCCUAAAACCCAAGCCAAAGCCCUACCCCUCUCUCUCUGGAUUCAAUCUGAUCUCCUUCUCUCUAUAGUCACCAUGGCCGCCUUCGCCGCCAGAUCAGCUUUUCGCUCCGCCGCGCGUAGCGCCACUGCGAGAAUAUCCGCCGGCGUCAAGCCUAGGUCAGCUCCAUCUCCAUUUCGCGCCUCAUCUCAAACUCCGCUCUCCGCUCGCAUUUUCAGGUCUCCCGUGGAGAUGAGCUGUGUUAGCGUAAUGUCUAUGUUGCCGUACCAUACUGCAACCGCCUCCGCCGUGCUCACUUCUAUGCUAUCUGUGGCGCCUCGCGGUCACGGUUGGAGCAUUGAAGAUACCAACGAUGAUGUAUGAUGACUGUUGGAUUGUUCGAGGGAAGUUUUAUUUUCAUGAGCAAUAGGAGAUUGUCUGAUAGAUGGAUGAUUGUUAGAAUGUGUUGAGAAGCGCUGCCUUUCGUGAUUGGUGUGAAUGGACAUGUAAUACUACUACGAGAUCAUUCAGCUUCAUCGUUAAAAGUUAUUCUUUUAUAACCCUUGUAGUUGACUUUCCCAGUAGAGCCAGAAAUGACUUGCAGCAGGAAAUUUCUGGGUGAUUCAUGACUACUUUUCAGUAACCUUUAAAUUGUCAGAAAAUACAUUUAAUUGGGUUAUUUUUCACUA